rnacentral:rRNA from 1 species
AGAUUGAACGCUGGCGGCAUGCCUUACACAUGCAAGUCGAACGGCAGCACGGGAGCAAUCCUGGUGGCGAGUGGCGAACGGGUGAGUAAUAUAUCGGAACGUGCCCAGUCGUGGGGGAUAACGCAGUGAAAGCUGUGCUAAUACCGCAUACGAUCUAUGGAUGAAAGCGGGGGACUCGCAAGAGCCUCGCGCGAUUGGAGCGGCCGAUAUCAGAUUAGCUAGUUGGUAGGGGUAAAACGCCCACAAGGCGACGAUCUGUAGCUGGUCUGAGAGGACGACCAGCCACACUGGAACUGAGACACGGUCCAAGACUCCGACGGGAGCAGCGAGGUGGGUAAUUUGGACAAGUGGCGCAGCCUGAUCAGCAA